GCUGCGCCGGGGCGCGGGGCUCCCGGCGCGGGGGGCGUCUCGUGGGGAGGGGGGAGCGCGCCGUCGGGGCGGAGACGCGGAGCCGGGCGCUGGGGCUGCCGGCGGGCCGGGCGGUCACUCCUCCCGCCGGCGGCCUCGCCCCCGCCCCGGCCCCCUCCGCCCGCCACAGCCCCGAUUCCGGGGGCCCCGAUUGGCUGCGAGGGGCAGGUGAGCGCGCCAGGCCCACGGCGCGCGCCAAUCAGAGCGGCCUCAGGCCCGGGCUCGGGGCUGCCAGAAGGUCCCCGCGGGGCGCGGGCAGCGGGGCCGGCUGGGCGGCUGCGGCAGCCGCGCUCCCCCCACCCCCGGGACGCCGCCAGCUGUCCCCCCCGGCAGAGUCCAGUCCUUGGGGUCCGAGCGAGGGCUUGGUGACAGCCGCCCGGCUGGGAGCCCCCACGCGGCCCUCCCGUGGCUGCGUGACCUGCUCCCCCUCCCCACACUGCCCACCACGUAGGAGGUGGUGCCUGCACCUUGUCGGGCCAGGACAGCAAGAUGUAAGCGCUGACCUAACGAAGCAAACAGGUCCAGGGAGCAAGACGCAGGAGGGAUGAAUGCACUUCCCCAAGGUAUCCGGAGACGGCAGGACACCUGCGUGCCUGUCCUUUCACCCACCGUCAUUUCAGGAAACGUCACACUCCACAGGCAUGACCUUUGUAACUAAGCUGGGACACAUGCACCAUAUACAGAAAACCAGCACAAAGUGGACCAGUAAUAAACAAAACCUAAAUACAUACACAGGGGCCGAAGUAACAGAAUGGUGAGUAGGGCGCUUGCUUUGUACUCAGCUGACCUGGGUUCGACCCCCAGCACUUCAUAUGGUCCCCCAAACCCAGACAGGAGUGAUUCCUGAGCACAGAGCCAGGAGUAAGCCCUGAGCACAACCAGGUGUAAUCUCUCCCUUGCUCCCCCCCC